UCAAAUGUGUUGAUAAGGAAAAGUAGCGAGAGGAAAGCUUACAGAGAGCCGUGGGUUGAUGGGACACGGCAACGGAACUUCCGCGAAAAUCCCCUUAGAACAGUCCGGGUGAAGAGCGCGCCCUACGCUUGCGUAAGCCGGAACGUGUAACAUACGUUAUCAUGUUUAUCAUUGACGGAUGAUAAUUGAGCGGCCGUUUUCGGACGGCAAAUAGAGUGGUACCGCAGAGUUGAAACCUUUGUCUCUAAU
rnacentral:ncRNA from 1 species